rnacentral:rRNA from 1 species
AGAGUUUGAUUAUGGCUCAGGAUGAACGCUGGCGGCGUGCUUAACACAUGCAAGUCGAACGGAGUUUUUAACGGAAGUUUCGGAUGGAAGUUUAGAAACUUAGUGGCGGACGGGUGAGUAACGCGUGGGUAACCUGCCUCAUACAGGGGGAUAACAGUUAGAAAUGACUGCUAACACCGCAUAAUAUAGCGAAACCGCAUGAUUUUGCUAUCAAAUAUUUAUAGGUAUGAGAUGGGCCCGCGUCUGAUUAGCUAGUUGGUGGGGUAAAGCCUACCAAGGCGACGAUCAGUAGCCGGCUUGAGAGAGUGACCGGCCACAUUGGGACUGAGACACGGCCCAAACUCCUACGGGAGGCAGCAGUGGGGAAUAUUGGACAAUGGGGGAAACCCUGAUCCAGCGAACCGCCGCGUGAGUGAAGAAGUAUUUCGGUAUGUAAAGCUCUAUCAGCAGGGAAGAUAAUGACAGUACCUGACUAAGAAGCCCCGGCUAACUACGUGCCAGCAGCCGC